UACGGAAGGCAGCAGUGGGGAAUAUUGCACAAUGGGCGAAAGCCUGAUGCAGCUAUGCCGCGUGUAUGAAGAAGGCCUUAGGGUUGUAAAGUACUUUCAUCGGGGAGGAAAAACAAAACUAAUAAUUUUAUUUCUUGACGUUACCCGAAAAAGAAGCACCGGCUAACUCCGUGCCAGCAGCCGCGGUAAUACGGAGGGUGCUAGCGUUAAUCAGAAUUACUGGGCGUAAAGAGCACGUAGGUGGUUUUUUUAAGUCAGAUGUGAAAUCCCUGGGCUUAACCUGGAACUGCAUUUUGAAACUGAAAUACUAGAGUAUCGUAGAGGGAGGUAGAAUUCUAGGUGUAGCGGUGAAAUGCGUAGAUAUCUGGAGGAAUACCUGUGGCGAAAGCGGCCUCUAAACGAAUACUGACACUGAGUGCGAAAGCGUGGGGAGCAAACAGGGAUUAGGAUACC
rnacentral:rRNA from 1 species